AAGACUAUACUUUCAGGGAUCAUUUCUAUAGUUUGUGAGUCCAGAAACGUAACUGAAAGUGAACGGACACGUUAACCCUGAUGAGGAGCAGAAAUCUCGCUUCCUGAGCGCGAAGCCGGUUCGAAGUACUGCUUUUGUGGAUGCUUCUUACCAUUGAUGACCGUUCCCUUCACCACUUGGUGGUGGGGUGGAGGGAAGUGAGAUAUUCUGAGGGGUU
ensembl:snoRNA